UCUGCUCAAUGAUUUUUUAAAUUGCUGUAGUAUUUUGACUAUACAAAGGUAUUGUAAUAAGACUUUAAUUGGGUGCUAAGAGAAUGGAUUUUCAAAAAAAUUCUUUUUUAAAUUUAAAAAUUAAAGUUAUUUUUAUUUGUGAAGAAACAAUAAUAUAAAUUAAAGACAAGAAGACCCUAUGAAUUUUGAUCGAUUUAAUAUUAAAUUUAAUAUUUAAUUCGAUUUAAUUGGGGCGAUUAAAAAAUAUUGAAAACUUUUUAAAAUAAAAAGAUCCAUUAAUAAUGAUUACAUGAAAUAAAUACUCUAGGGAUAACAGCGUAAA
rnacentral:rRNA from 1 species